GGAAUUGGGACAAAAGUUUCUUGGAUCGACGUUUGGGUUGGCUAGAUUCGCGUUUUCGGCUUGCCAUUUAUAUAAUAGUCACUUCAGAGCCAAUUUGAGUAUAGCUUCGGAUCUUAUUUCGAAAACCUUAAAGAAUGAAAGUUGUAGAUCUACUUCUCCUAUUUCCGGAUCAUCUUGAAUCAUCGAAAUCGGAGUUCGGACGAAGAAGUUAUGGCCAUUUUCCCAAAGGACGUCGGAGCAGAAAAUGUCAGAA
rnacentral:lncRNA from 1 species